GAGCGCUGGCCGUGCAGCCGCGCGCUCUGCAUCGCUGCCCAAGGCCGUGGUCAGAAACAGCCUUUGAAGAGACAUCGGUGACUUCACCUGGCCCCGGACCUGGGMGUUCCCAAGCACGGUUAUUUGUAUCCUAGGACUCCAGACUUCAUUAAUUGAAGCUUCCCACUGAAUUCAGCAGGAUGUCGAUGCCUGACUGGUGUGUUCUGCUCCAGUGAUACUCACCCUGCUUGUUCUUCUGGAUAGCUUGGAGUGCAAGACCAUGUAUUUAAAGUUUUGUUCCCCAGUGGGGCUCCUGCACAGCAUGGGAACAGAGAUCAGAACCUGCUCGUGUACGUUACAUUCUCCAUUCCAGGAGGCAGAGAGAGCAGGGCGGA